rnacentral:rRNA from 1 species
AUGGCUGACCUGGCCGGCUGGCUGUCGCGCGUAUUAGCUUCUGCGGGUGCACUGACCGCCGUGUGGGUGCUAGCCUGGGAGGCUGUCACGUGUGCUGGCGUUCGCGGGCGCACUGAACGUGUGCGCGCGUGUGCGAUGGCGGUAGGAGGAGUGCGGACACGUCAUGCCAUGGUCAUGUGGGAACACAAGGCAGAGAACGCAGCACCCGAGAAACGGAAAAAAGAGCGAGGCCACAAAUCUGCGAGCCGGUUGCCACUUCCACCACGCCAUAUCCAAAGCUUCCUCCAUGUCCAUGCCCCACAGUAUAUAAGUUGGAUCGCGUGGCCUCUAUAUCGUUACCAAGCCGAGCAAGACGGAACCAAGCAGAGCCAUCGAUCGAUUGAAGAAAAGUCGGAGAGCGUGCGUGCAAGAAAGCGUGGGCCGCCGGAGCUGCUAGAGGUAUUAUCCCCAUCUCUGAUCGAUUAUGGACAAGGUGCUGGCCAUCUCCAUGCCGAGCAUGUCGUCGGUAGACAUCGCCCCCGGCGCGGGCAGCAGCGGCAGCAGGGCUCGGCUCUGCUGGCGGGGGUCGAAGCUACAGGAGGACGAGCAGACUGGAUCAGCUGGGAAACAGGGAAAGCAGGGCGGUCUGCUGGUGGAGGAAGAGCAGCAGGCGGGCAAGGGGAAAUCGCAGUCACCGCUGCCGCGGUUCGUGCCGGAGUUUGA